CACAGGCAUCCGGAACCCGGAAGCAGCAUGCAGCAAGCACCAAUCACAGGCCAGUUGACAAUGUUUACGUCCAUCAGCUGGUGAUGGCGGCGAACACCUCUGACCAAGGGGCAGGGCUUGUAGUCAGUUUGCAACGCAAUCGCUGUUCAGGGGCGAGUGUGACAUGCGUCUGGAGCACCCCAGACCUGGUGUUGAACCGAUGCCGCACAGCCUAGUACCCUGGACACUGAACCGAUGCCGCAGCACAGCCUAGUACCCUGGACACUGGCUCCUUAUCCCCAUGAAACAGUUCACUGUGUCACCAAUCGACACCUAUGUAUGAUAAAUGCUUCACUUAACAGCCAGUAAUGUACUUUGUAUUAGUCACUCUGUGUUCCCAGAACACUGUAACCUUGGUAACAGUUCUGUCAUUAUGUCAACAUCAUGGAACCCUGAAAUUUAUCACAUUGACAGUACAUGUUCACAUCUAAAUUUCACAGAAAACAUAAUCAAUGGUUUUGGUUACCAUGGUUUCAGAGCAUUAAUAUAUCUAGAGCAAUGUGACAUCAUCUUUGUUUAUUUGGCAGGUAGUUAGUUGUGCUCAUUGUGUUGGAUAUUGUUGCAGACGCUGACUGAGAUGACAGUGCCUCCACUGACACAGCCAUUGAGAGGGAAGAUUGUGCAGGAAAUGGACCUCCAGAGAAGAUUCACCCAGGUAGCUUAUCAUAAACCAAACGUAAAACAUAUGGAGUUCCCCAUGG